GAAUAUUGCGCAAUGGGCGAAAGCCUGACGCAGCAACGCCGCGUGAGGGAUGAAGGCCUUCGGGUCGUAAACCUCUGUCAGGUGGAAAGAAGGUUCUUGCGGUAAAUAGCCGCAGGAGCUUGACGGUACCACCAACGGAAGCCCCGGCUACACCCGUGCCAGCAGCCGAGGUAAUACGGAGGGGGCAAGCGUUAUUCGGAAUCAUUGGGCGUAAAGGGCGCGUAGGCGGCUUAGUAAGUUGAAGGUGAAAUCCCUCGGCUCAACCGAGGAACUGCCUUCAAAACUGCUUGGCUAGAGUCCGGGAGAGGGCAGUGGAAUUCCCAGUGUAGCGGUGAAAUGCGUAGAUAUUGGGAGGAACACCAGUGGCGAAGGCGACUGCCUGGACCGGAACUGACGCUGAGGCGCGAAAGCGUGGGGAGCAAACAGG
rnacentral:rRNA from 1 species